UACUCAUACACGAACACACUAUAGCAAUUAUUUUCAAUCGUAUACCCACAAUUUGCCGUGUCACCACGUCAAGUUUCAAGGCAGAUUUUUUUUAGACUCCAGGAAGCUAUAUGCCUAAUUCUAUCCAUUGUUUACUGCAUUGCAUUUGAUUUUCUAUAACAAAUAAAAUUGAAUUCUCCAUUGAUUGCGCCGACGCUCACAUUAUAAUUAUAUGCUAUUAUUAUUGACUAGUCAUAUAUUUUCUUGGCGGGUGGGGGCUGCACUGGUGGCGUUCUACGAAUUUGCGCCGCGUUUGUGCGGGUAAGCUUAAGUGCAGAAUUUUUUUUGCGCGUUAUGAAAACAAUGCACUGCAGGUAUUUUAAUUAAUGCAACGAGCUGUAUGAAAUAUCGGUCAAGGGGUUGGAAACGUCGUUAUAGAGAAUCCCGACGAUUUUUCUUUUGCGUGUGUGUAUUUGGAGUUGAUUCACAGUUUUAUUUCUUUAUUUUGGCUACAUUGCGCCAAUUGCGCUUCCAUAGAAUAAAGAAACGCGCUUCCACGCGCUUGCCGACUCGAUCGCAAGGGGACAGCCUGAUCAACAUCAAUAUCAGCAGCAAUGGCGGAUUUGCGCUUGCCAUGGCGCUUGCAAAGUUUUCAAUAGUUUUCGACUAUUAAGUGAUGCUUUUGCUAUUUUAACGUGUGGAGGUUCAUUGUACGUCUGUUUUUUCAAGUUUGGCAUGUGUUUUAACACAUGUGAAGGUGUAGUCUUUUCUUCUUCAGCGGAUAUUUGUACAAGACCCCGUUCACCGUCUAUCAGCUCUAGCUCGGCAAGAAUAAAGCGGUUCCUUAGAAGUGGUGGAGGUGCUGGGGUUCUGCAUACCAAGGACGUAUAAGGUCACAAAGCUGCACCCAGGUAGAGGCAGAAUCCAAAAAUGCUUGUGUACUUCAAGUAUAGCUGCACAUUACAGAAUCCGAGGCCCUCAAGAUUUAUCCGUAGCCCUCGUGUAGCCCACGAGUUCCAUAUUUUUUAUUGGGAUUGAAGAGUAACGUUUGUGCUGUAUCCCUCUAUUUCAGACUAAAUAAUGUGCAUGCAAAAUUAUAUCUUCAUUACUUUACACCAUUGCACCAAUAUCUGUUGUGCGUUGAUUUUCUGAUGUCCUUGCAUUUGCUAUAGCAAGGAUUUUUAAAAAUCAGCCACAAAAGAAAAAAAUAAAUGGUCAAGGAACGAAGUGGUGUGUAGCAGCUCCCUUUUUUUUAAUCGGCGGCAAGUUUUGCACUCGUGUGUUAGCAACACUGUUUCGCCAGUUGUGUACUUCAAAAGAAGUGUUACCUUUCUGCUUUGGAACUUUGUGGUUUUGUUCUGCCAGCUGCUUGACCAACACAAGCAAAAUGUACUUUGGAUAUUCCACAAAUUUAUUCUGUAUGCAUUUGGUACAAUAAAAUUUGUUUCAAGAAUGGACAAAUGCAGUGAUGGUUAAUUGAAAACUGCAACAUGCUGAGUUUCAUGCUUCAUUAAUUUUCUCAGCCCCAAAGAAAGCAUGCGAGGUUUGAAAAUGUAUCAUGUGACAUUAGUGCACUCGGUCUAGAGAACUGAUUAAUGCUGCACAUACAUUGAACAUGGUGGCCAUAACCAUCCCUCAUGAAUUGGCAUUCCCUGCCUAAACCACCUCACCAAGACAGCUUGUUAACAGCAAGAAAGCUGACGGGGCUUCCAAGAAUUUCUAUGCACUAUUUAUUACUAUCGCCCUACUGAAAUUGCUCCAUUGCUUUGCUGACAAUUGUCUUGACAAAAGUGGAAGCCGAAUCUGUUGAGGUCGAUCAGUUUUAUUUACAUACAACCUAUUAUAAAGUGGACCUUUCUUCGCCUCUUCAACUGUUCCCACAGCUGCUGCUGCCAUCUUGCACGCCACAUCGAGGAGGAGGGCAAUGUACAUGGUAGGUGCAUGGGAGGAUUUUCCAAGGAACUCUGGAAAGCUGUAAUCAGAUUGUGGGCAAAGUUAAAAACUUAAAUACAAAAAGGGUGUAGAGUAUUGUAACCUUGUACAUGUUGAUCACACCACAUGUUUCAGCUACAGCUAUAAGUGCCUUGUCUCAUCAACCAAGCUACAGUUCUUGCAAUGUUACACUUUGUGAUACUCAGUAUGAAUUGACAAGACUAGCUGCUAUUCUAGUGGUUGUGCAGGCCACAAGGGAACAGUGCCUGGCCUUUGUGCUUGUAUGUGUCAAUUUCUCUUUCAGUCUCGCCCAAGCCACACCAAAAUGUUAUCCACAAGUGUCGUGCCAAAAUGGCCUGGCGACAUUUCGUAUUAAGCCGUUUGACCCAUUUAUUGCACUGAUGCACACAGUGCAACCAAAUGAAGGAAAUGACAUCGCCUAGGUGAUUAUUAAAUUACCCUUCUAAAAUACCACAAGAGGAAUUUUGCUGUGGCAAGAGCCUUAGCAAAACCAUAAGAGACACAAAAAUGAAGGAAAAGCGACACCUUCAAGUUCCCGCACCGACUCACCACGAGAAGCACGAAUUUCGGCAGUGUCUGCUUGAGCUUAGUUAUUUGGAGAUACAUGCAGUUGAAUGCUUUUACACGCAUUGAGAUGCCCCACUAUACUAGCUUGCCUUUUAUGGCUAUAGAAAGUUGUAUAGUGCCAUAAGUCUGCCUAUUCUUCCGAUUGGAAUCUAUAUUGAAGCUGCUUUGAGCAACGGGCGGUAUUCUAUUUCAGCGCUAAUGAUACAUUGACAGUAGUGUGCCUGGAAGGAAUAGACAAAAGCAUUGCAGAAGCUGCAGCACUUUGUGCUCGCUGAAUGAUCAUACGAGAAGGUAAAGAUGCCAUCAGAAAGCAUCCUUCGUAUAGAGUCUCUUUAAAAGAAAAAUACUACAUCUAGACAUGGUGACAGUUGUGGUGGCAAACUAAAAAUAUUAUGAUAGUUCAAGGUGUGGUAUGGCAUGUUUAUGCUAUUUCUGAAAAAAUAAACACGGCAAGUGUGUCCAUGCCAACAAUUGAGGCAGGAUGUGCAGAUGCAAAGCUGCAAUACAGCACCACGGCGUCAAAAGGACAGUAUGCAAGUGGUGGUCCAGCAUCAAAACUUCAAUGUCCCUACACUACAACACUGGGAGGCCAUGCUGCAUGACAGAAGCCUGUGUGGCCAGCAGGCGCUGCUCUGUCGGGCACAGGACGUGGCAGCAACUAUUUCUCCUAAGGAUUCAAUAAACGGAUUUCUCUACCUCA